ensembl:misc_RNA Metazoa_SRP Metazoan signal recognition particle RNA
GCCAGGUACAGUGGCUUGUGCCUGUAGUCCCAGCUACUCAGGAGGCUGAGGCUGGAGGAUUGCUUGAGUCCAGAAGUUCUGGGCUAUAGUGAGCUAUGCUGAUCGGGUGUCUGCACUAAGUUCAGCAUCAAUAUGGUGACUUCCUGGGAGCGGGGGACCACCAGGUUGCUUAAGGAGUGGUGAACCGGCCCAGGUCGGAAACAGAGCAGGUCAAAACUCCUGUACUGAUCAGUAGUGGGAUCAUGCCUGUGAAUAGCCACCGUACUCCAGCCUGGGAAACAUAGCGAGACCCCAUCUCUU